UAAUUUCUGUCACUUUCCUGGGCCCUGUAGACAGUGAGGUUGCAAUGCCUGCCUGAGCUGAUCUCUGAUGCUGCUUCCAACUCUGAUACCCAGAGAGUCUAGGUCCUAAGCCUCAGCAAUCAGAUGAGCAUCUUGCCUUUGAGGAGAUAUAGUAGAAAGAAAAAAACAACACUUGCCACGGAAACCAGCAGGAAGAUGUCUUGUCUGAGAUAAUACAUGUACAAAGGCUGGGUAAUCACCUAAGGAUGCUCAUGAUGGAUUCCUGAAGCAGUUGAGAGAUCAGAAUGCCACCAAAGUCUCUUCUAAACCAUAAUCUGUGGUGCUUUUUGACUCUUUGCUUUCUAAUAUCUACAGAGAGGUAUUUUAUUACAAC